CGUGUAUUCUUUGAAUUACGGCCAAGUCAACUACUCUUAACUCAUUUGCUUCCUCUUGCUUUCUCAACCUAUUUGCUUCCUCUUCUCUCUCUUCUUUUUCCUCAUUUAAUUCAUCAAGCUUUGCUUUGCUCCUUUUCAGAAACACUUUUUUUCCAACUUGAAGAGAGGUGGGUUGUGAUGCUUCGGUCCUCUUGAUUGACAGAAAUGGUGAUAAAAACUUCCAUCGAGAGGCAGGUCAUACCCAAUCAGACCUUGAGGGGUUUUGAUAAAAUUGAAAAGGCUUGUCCAGGGGUAGUUUCAUGUGCUGAUAUUGUUUCUAUUGCCGCUAGAGAUGGCAUUAUGCUGCAUUCCUUGCCACGUUUGCAGCUUGAUCUUCUUCAAAUGAUCUUAUUUCUUUCUCUUUCUCUUCUCCCAAAUCAACAAAAAAGGAAAUCUACUGAAAGGUACCCAGGGGCAGUGACAACACUGGCCCAAGAUUCCACGACUGGAUGAUAACAUAAUACAGACACGUCACCUUUUUGCCCAUAGAGGUUUUGAUGAAAGAGAAAUAGUCAGUCUUCUAGCUACUUACUAGCUCUUUGCUUUUCUUUCUUUUUCCCCCUUGUCUUAUGGAGUUGAAAAGGUUUAAAAAGUUAUUUGGUUUGUAUUGGUUUCUUGAUCAUCUGAAGGUGAACACAACAUUGGGAAGAUUGAUUGUGAAUUCAUACAAAAACGCCUCUCUGACUUCAAGGAGACCAGGCAGCCUGACCCAACUAUAUCUCUUGAUUUCCUCACUGAGAUGAAAAUGAGUUGUCAAGACAGUAAUAGGAACCACCCAGCCUUCUUCUUUAUCCAUGGCAACAAUGGAAAUGACUGAGUCUGCAGUGGGGAUGUCAUAAUUUCAGGCAUUGUUAUCUUCGAUAUCAUCCAGGGCAGGUUUUGACACUCACUACCAUCAGAGCUUGUAAAAGGGGAGAGGACUUCUUUUUUGCCCAUCAGCAAUUGAUGGCUAAUGAGAAGGCCGUGAGACUGCUAAGGGCUUAUGCUUCAGAUGACAGAUCAACCUUUCGAAUGGACUUUGCUUGGGCAAGGAUGAAGAUGUCAGGGCUUAAUGUUCUUACUGGAUCUCAAGGUCAGGUCCGACGGAACUGCUCCUUGCUUUUGGUUAUGAGUGCUGCUGAUGCCGUCAAAAGUGUCAUUUCUAUUACCUCUGGUUGUCUGAGAGAGAGCUUGUUUGAUGCAAACUCAAAUUUCCAAAAAUUUUGAGAUGCACAACUGUUGGCAGAAAACCAAUUUUAGAGGGUGAGACUUAGUUUUGGAUAUGCGAAAUAUGCAAUUGAUUCCAUUUAUCAGUAUCUCACAGAAUAUUUUCCCUAUCGUAGGAACUGGUAUGACUGCAUAUCCUUGACUUUGAUAGCUAUUUACUGAAAUUAAGUUCCUUAUCUUUCCUAUGUGUCAUGAAGAUGGUUUGUUCCUGGAAACCUUUUCAGUUAGUAUCUUUGCUUAGAGAUUUUAUCAUUAUCUUGUGUUUUAAGUAGAGUUCUUAAAGUUAGUUUACUUCUUGUGCUUAUAGGCUUCCUCCUCUCUUGCCAAUUGCAUAAGGCCAUUCUUUAAAAACAAAACAGCAUUCAUUAUGUUAAACAUCAAGCACUGCCUCUAUCUUUCUCUAGAAAUUUCUAGAAUUUCUCAUGCAAUCUUUCUCUCCUGAAUUCUCUAAGAGCUUCCUUGCAUAAGUUAAUCUCAGCCACUAAUUUACAAGAUGUCUAGAAGAUUGGAGAAAGGCAUUAAUUUAAUGCCAAUAAAAAGGAAGAAGCUAGAAGCUUCAAUAGAUGUAAUGAUGGCCAAGAGAGAAGAGUGAAGUGAGGUGAUGUGAAGUGUUAGGUGAAGUAAAGUGUGUGAGGUGAAGUAGUGUGAAGUCAGGUGCAGUGUGAAGUGAAGUAAAAAGAGAGCUAUAGUGUCAGUAGGUGUGCAUGAGUAUUUGGUGAGUGAGUGUAUUUAAGGUUAGCGUGUGUGAAUGUAAAAGUGCUGUGUGUGCAUUGGUGUAAUAAUGGUGCUCGUAAAGUGUUGUAAUUUAAAGAGUCCAGUUUUAAUAAAAAAGCUCUUUGUUCAGUCUUUUGUUAAACUCAUUUUAGGUUCGCAGAGGCAAGAGUACUCAUCCAUAGUGCAAUGUGAUACUUAAAACGAGAUACUAUGUACAUUUUCCAACAUACCACAAAACUUGAGUCAGUUUACUUUACUUUGGAGAUAUAAUGCCAUUAACCAAUGAGUUAUGGAGAAAAAUGAAACCAUCACCAUAACUUUUGCAGAGAAUCAUGUUCAUGUUCUAAUGCAAAAAGUGGAACUUCUACAGUUAUGCCAUUUUAAUUUCAAUGAUAAUGAUUUUAUUCAUUUAUAAAAAUCUGCAUUGGAUCAUUGGUUAGGUUUGCUUGCCUACCAAUUGGUAUAUGAUCUUGUUAUUCAUGUUGAUAACUCUUUCUAUGAGCCCUAAAUGCCUCUUGAAUUUAUGAAAUCAAAAAUAUUAUGUUACAACAAAACCAUAAGAUGCUAAACAAAUAUGAAUUUUCAGACUCCCUCCAUCUUAUAGGCCCCAAAGACAGCACAAAGGAACUUUUGAAGAGUGGCUGAUUAUUAUGCAUCAUUUAAUAAUUGCAGUAUAUAGGGGUAGCAGCUAUUAUGCUUGAAUAAAAAAUAUCCAAUUGCUCUUAUAUAUAUUUUGGAAUCAUUAAACUUAGAACAAAAUGCUUUCCCAUUGAUAUAUAUUCGCAAUAUCUAUAAAAUAUUAGUCAGCCUCGCUUUUUCAGCUAAAUACCAAGAUCUCAUAGGCUAAUCAUUUUGGCUACAUAGAGAAAGUGCUUCCAAUAUUAAGAAGGAAUAUAAUUUUAAACAUGCUGUUACAAGACCAUGGAAAGGCAUGGAUAAUUCAAUAUGCAAACAAAGUGGAGCAUUAGCCCACAACCUUAACUUCCAUCCAAGUAUGAUGUGAAGAGGAAGUGCCAAUUGAGUUAUUUUCAACUAAGAACCUGAGAGUUUGUUUAGUUUGGUAGAUUUUAGGAGGGAUGAAAAGGGCCGGGUAGAGAAAAGUGGAGAGAAAAAAAGGUAUAUAAAAUUGGUGUUCAAACUUCAAAGUUCCUUCCUCUUCUUCUUCUUCUUUUUUGAGUGGAGUUCUUGAGGUUUCAUUCCAACUUUUGAGAUUGUUGUGGGCUGCAAAUUGAUUGGGUACUAUUUAAAAAUUUAAUUUAACGUUUUUCAGAUUUGUUAUAGAGAAAUGGAGAGAAGAUUGGGUGGUGGUGACGGCAGCGACUCUGGUGAGAUGUGUGUGGUGGGUUGCUGAAAGGUAUAAGUUACUAGAGCAAGUGUUCUGAAAUAGGAGUUGGUUUCUGUUUUUUAACAAAAGAAUGAGAUUGCGAAAGCUGUGGAAGAGGAACUUGAAAAGCCAUGUCAGCUUACGGAUUUGGGAUUGUUCAAACACUAAUUGUGGACACUGAACCUGAUGAAUAUGUGAAAAGGGCUAUGAGCGAGAUAAAUGCCGCUGAAUCUAAUUAUCUGGCUGGGCUUGUAGUUGGGCUGAGGGACAGUGUACUUGCUUUCUCUAUGAACGUACCUGGCACUAUGUCAAAGGAUUUCUUGUACAUGGUUCUGGUGACUCAAUAUUUCGUCACAAUGAAAGAAAUUGGCGCAUUGUCAGAGUCCAACCCUGUUUUCAUCACACAUGGACCAGGUACUGUGAAAGACAUUGCUUCACAAAUUACAGAUGGCCUCCUUCAAGUAAAUACCACUCAGAAUUAGUAACUUUAUCCCAGCAUAAUGUUGCACGAGUGGCUUUUCUAAUGGUAUAUGAAAUGAUUGGUGCUAGUAUCUUAGAUUGGUGUGGUGUGUAUACAUGGUGUUGAACUUGGCCAUAGUAUUGGAAAUAUUCUUUUAUAGUAUGAGACGUAUUUUUGGGGGGCAUCCUCAGUCUGGUGUGAUAUGCUACUUUGUA